rnacentral:tRNA from 1 species
GCAUCGGUAGUUCAGUGGCAGAAUGCUCGUUUCCCAAGUGAGUGGCCCGUUUUCGAUUCCCGGUCGAUGCA